AUGAACGCUGGCGGCGUGCUUAACACAUGCCCGUCGAACGGUGAAGGCGGAGCUUGCUCUGCUGGAUCAGUGGCGAACGGGUGAGUAACACGUGAGCAAUCUGCCCCUGACUCUGGGAUAAGCGCUGGAAACGGCGUCUAAUACUGGAUACGAGCUGCGAAGGCAUCUUCAGCAGCUGGAAAGAAUUUCGGUCAGGGAUGAGCUCGCGGCCUAUCAGCUUGUUGGUGAGGUAAUGGCUCACCAAGGCGUCGACGGGUAGCCGGCCUGAGAGGGUGACCGGCCACACUGGGACUGAGACACGGCCCAGACUCCUACGGGAGGCAGCAGUGGGGAAUAUUGCACAAUGGGCGAAAGCCUGAUGCAGCAACGCCGCGUGAGGGACGACGGCCUUCGGGUUGUAAACCUCUUUUAGCAGGGAAGAAGCGAAAGUGACGGUACCUGCAGAAAAAGCGCCGGCUAACUACGUG
rnacentral:rRNA from 1 species